rnacentral:tRNA from 1 species
GGGGCUGUAGCUCAGCGGUCAGAGCAGGGGACUCAUAAUCCCUUGGUCGCAGGUUCGAUCCCUGCCAGCCCCA